ACGAACGCUGGCGGCGUGCCUAAUACAUGCAAGUCGAGCGGAAUGAUGAAGAAGCUUGCUCUUCUGAUUUUAGCGGCGGACGGGUGAGUAACACGUGGGCAACCUACCUUGUAGAUUGGGAUAACUCCGGGAAACCGGGGCUAAUACCGAAUAAUCCAUUUUGCUUCAUGGCGAGAUGUUGAAAGACGGUUUCGGCUGUCACUACAAGAUGGGCCCGCGGCGCAUUAGCUAGUUGGUAGGGUAAUGGCCUACCAAGGCGACGAUGCGUAGCCGACCUGAGAGGGUGAUCGGCCACACUGGGACUGAGACACGGCCCAGACUCCUACGGGAGGCAGCAGUAGGGAAUCUUCCACAAUGGACGAAAGUCUGAUGGAGCAACGCCGCGUGAGUGAAGAAGGUUUUCGGAUCGUAAAACUCUGUUGUAAGGGAAGAACACGUACGAGAGUAACUGCUCGUACCUUGACGGUACCUUAUUAGAAAGCCACGGCUAACUACGUG
rnacentral:rRNA from 1 species